UGGGGAAUAUUGGACAAUGGGCGAAAGCCUGAUCCAGCCAUGCCGCGUGUGUGAAGAAGGUCUUCGGAUUGUAAAGCACUUUAAGUUGGGAGGAAGGGCAUUAACCUAAUACGUUAGUGUUUUGACGUUACCGACAGAAUAAGCACCGGCUAACUCUGUGCCAGCAGCCGCGGUAAUACAGAGGGUGCAAGCGUUAAUCGGAAUUACUGGGCGUAAAGCGCGCGUAGGUGGUUUGUUAAGUUGGAUGUGAAAUCCCCGGGCUCAACCUGGGAACUGCAUUCAAAACUGACUGACUAGAGUAUGGUAGAGGGUGGUGGAAUUUCCUGUGUAGCGGUGAAAUGCGUAGAUAUAGGAAGGAACACCAGUGGCGAAGGCGACCACCUGGACUAAAACUGACGCUCAGGUGCGAAAGCGUGGGGAGCAAACA
rnacentral:rRNA from 1 species